rnacentral:rRNA from 1 species
AUUGAACGCUGGCGGCAUGCCUUACACAUGCAAGUCGGACGGUAACGGGCCUUCGGGUGCCGACGAGUGGCGAACGGGUGAGUAAUGCAUCGGAACGUACCUUUCAGUGGGGGAUAACGUAGCGAAAGUUACGCUAAUACCGCAUAUUCUGUGAGCAGGAAAGCAGGGGAUCGCAAGACCUUGCGCUGGUUGAGCGGCCGAUGUCAGAUUAGCUAGUUGGUGAGGUAAAGGCUCACCAAGGCGACGAUCUGUAGCGGGUCUGAGAGGAUGAUCCGCCACACUGGAACUGAGACACGGUCCAGACUCCUACGGGAGGCAGCAGUGGGGAAUUUUGGACAAUGGGGGCAACCCUGAUCCAGCCAUGCCGCGUGAGUGAAGAAGGCCUUCGGGUUGUAAAGCUCUUUCGGCCGGGAAGAAAUCGUAUGGGCUAAUACCCUGUGCGGAUGACGGUACCGGCAUAAGAAGCACCGGCUAACUACGUGCCAGCAGCCGCUGUAAAAC